UCUACCUGUCAAGUUGUUCCUGAUGCCUUGUUUCCAUUCCAAUUAAUGUGUUUCCCUAUUCAUUCAUAUGUAACUUAAUUGAGUACGUAGUACAACACUAUAGGUUACAUAUUGGAGCCUUUUCGCCAUAACUUUUCAAAUAACAGAGAACGAUGCAUUCUGCGCAGUCACAUGUCAUUUCAGUGUCUCUCCAAAAGUGGAAGUUUUCCACAUUUGAUUGUUUGUUUUAUUGUUAUUCAAGACCUUCACUCCGGAAAGAACCUGGCCAAUGCGAUUUAUCGCAUUUGCCUAGGUUUAAGAGAAAAGUUGCUGGCUUUUGUUGCGGACAAUCCCAGAAACAAUUAUAUGUACCAGGUGCCAGGAACUAGAAAAAAUAAUUGGAGCUUUCUGCUCGGAAAACGGAGUAAUAAGAUGCCCAUUCACUACACCACUAUGCUCAAUUGAAUCUCUGAUGUUACUCAAAGCUGGAUUGGGAAAUGUAGCGGAGUUUGAAAGUGGACCAAAUGAAACCACUGAGCAAAUAACCGGAGAACCAACUCGGCGUCGUGCUGGCGAUUUAAGAUAUGCACCAUCCAUGCAGCUAGAAAGGAGGCGGAAAAUACGGAUUGGUUUCAAAUGGACACUCCUGUCACGUCGGAGGACAUUUUUCGACACGCGCAAGUUAAAGGGACACAGUAUCUUUUUUAGUUGUUGAGCAAAUACUUAUGUAAAUAUGUAUUUGUCGUAGAAAAGUUAAUUAAAUUCAUUUUUAAAAAACACCCAUGUCUUCCGACAUAGCAUCUUUAGAUUUUAAAUAAAUAAUUUUAAAAUUUUGAAAUAUCUAGGAGCAAUGAGGAAAUGUUUAUGCUUCUGAAAGAUACAUUUGCAAGUCAAACCUUGAUUGAUACAUAUAUUAUGAAAGUGCAACAAUUCUAUAAAAAAAUGCUUUGGUAAAGCCAUGCAUUCUAAUUUUAAGUAGAUACACUAUUUAGUAAUGUGCUAUG